CUGGUAGCGAUAAAAAACAAAAAAGACAAACAACAAAAAAAAAAAAAAAACCAGGGCCUGGGAUGGGGAGCGGGCAGAACUGAUUUCUUUCUGGUCUAGUGUGCCACCUACUGGCAGUCUGGCAUCACUGGCAGUUGGAAAAUACAACUGGAUUUUCCUCCUGCUUCAAAGCUCAGCGCCCAUGUUUUACCAAGCUAAGCCAAUUCCAGGCUGAGGAGCUUGGAGGGUAACAGGGAAUGAUUUACGCAGGAAGAUGGAGCAUAAACGUAAUCAUCAUCACUAGCCCUGCCAGAAGUCACCAGCCACCAUGGUCAACUUGUGCACAGCCUGGCUCUAGUGAUGCCUGGUGCCUGGCACAGGGAGGCCCAGUGAUCAGAACAAGGAAGGCAAAAGGAGAAAGCAUCGGGAUUUCUCUGCCCACAUCAGCUUCUAAUUUCCAGCCCACCGCUAGUUUCCCAGCAGGGCUCCCUGUUGCUGCAGAGCUCUGAAGGGGUGUGACACCCCCAGCAGUGUACUGGAAACCUCCACAAUGGAGCUUUCCUUCCUUCCUUCCUCUCCCUCUCCCCUCUCAAGACACAGGGGCAGCCACUGUCCACCUCAGGAAUGAGGACAAGCUGGGCAGGACAGUUCAAGGACCCAGUUCAAGCUAGUAAAAGAGGAAGCUGUGUUCACGUCUUCCAUCUGCCUCCAAAGAGAGGUGAGGGUAGCGGAAGAGGAAAAGUGAAGACGGCAUCCCGGCAUCCCGUCUCCUCCAAGGAACCAAAGCACCUGGGCUCUAGCCCUUUCCACUCUCACCAGUGAACCCAGAUCGCCAUUCUAAGCUCCUCUCAGGCACCACUUCCCCCAUGGAGCCUCUUCUGAUUUCCUCCAAUAAGUAAAAUUUGCCCUUCGUUGACUCAGGGCGGCCCUGUGGGUGCGCUUCUUUCUGGCACUAGGCUUACUUCACAUCACCUCAUCUGCAGUAAGAACCACAUCCUACUUGGCUCUGGAUGCUCCAACACAGAUCCUAACCUGAAUGGAACUGAGUGCAUAUGUGUGACAUCGAGAGUGAUUUCUGGAAAGUCCAUCCCUAGCUGACUUCAAAGCAGAACUCCAAAAUAGGAAGGCCUGGCUCCAGGCCUGGGAGCAGGGUCACUUAACUCGCCCUCCAAAAGCUAUAUCUUCUUGGAAGCAAGCUGGUGGCCACUCCAGUAUUGAAAGACAGAUUCUGGCACAGGCGCAUGGGUGUACACCCAGGCUCCUCCCUGGGAAGACACUCAAACUUUCUGGGUUCCCCUUCUGUGAAACAGGAGUGAUCAACAGCCCCCACCUCAGAUAGGUGGCAGGAGGAUAAGCAGCGUUACCAGGCAGAAGUGUUGGGACUGGUGCCCAGUGGAUGGACACACAUGCCUUCUGCUAACUCACAGCAGCUGAAGGCUAAGCCCGCUCCACAGCCCUCAAGGCUGGGCCCACUCUAAAUGCAGCAAGAAAAUAAAGAAUCCAUCUAGCUACAGGAAUCCAUUCCCAGAGAGUCAAAUCUUAAACAAAUUCUAUUUAGAGUUCCUCCCAGCUAGCCACAAAGGCACCCAGUCCUCGGGGCCUCCUUCAAGACCAGCAGCGAGACUCAGCCUUUCCAGCUGCAGCCUGCAGAGGCGGGAAAUGAGGGCUGCAACACAUAACACACUCCAGCAAACUCACAGGUCGUCAUGAGGCGCAACAGAGAGAGCAAGAGCAAGAAGCAGUUCUGAGAAGCAGCACAUGCAGGCCAGGCACAGGUUGGCACCAGCUGCCAACUACAGCCCACAGUCCUGUAACACCAGGCACCUUCUCAGAGGGCACAGGAAGGGUUCCUGGGGGCCUGAGCCUGUGAAGCACAGCUCUCUAGCUGCCCUGGAGUUGAGGGCUGCCUCUUCUCAAGGUUCAGCCUUGCGCUUAGGCCAGAUAGGUGAUACCAGGACCCACCAGUCAUUUUCCACAAUCCAGCUGUCUCAUGAAGAGUCUACUCAUCCAAACCAGCAUCUAAGGUGGCACCACUGAACAUAACAAGCAGCUUUUACUAACCUUACUGAGCACAGUAUCCCAAGCCGUCUUCUACUAAUCAAUUAACUAAUUAAUGGCCUCAAGUAACACUGGCCAAAGGAAAAACAAAGUACUAAGUGUGGUACAUUUGGAGAAUAAAAAUCUUUCAAAACCA